rnacentral:rRNA from 1 species
GACGAACGCUGGCGGCGUGCUUAACACAUGCGAGUCGAACGGAAAGGCCCCUUUGGGGGUACUCGAGUGGCGAACGGGUGGGUAACACGUGAGUAACCUGCCCUUGACUUCGGGAUAACUUCAGGAAACUGGGGCUAAUACCGGAUAGGAAUCCUUGCUGCAUGGUGGGGGUUGGAAAGCUUCGGCGGGUUUGGAUGGACUCGCGGCUUAUCAGCUUGUUGGUGGGGUAGUGGCUUACCAAGGCUUGGACGGGUAGCCGGCCUGAGAGGGCGACCGGCCACGUUGGGACUGCGCGCCGGACGGGGCGCCUCCGGGGGGCAGCAGGGGGGGAUAGUGCGCCAUGGGCGGAGGCCUGAGGCAGGAACGCCGGGUGCGGGAGGAGGGCCUGCGGGUUGUAAACCGCUUCCGCCGGUGACGAAGCGGGAGUGACGGUAAUGGGUAAAGAAGCACCCGCUAACUACGUG